rnacentral:rRNA from 1 species
AGUCGAGCGGAUUGAUGGGAGCUUGCUCCCUGAAUCAGCGGCGGACGGGUGAGUAACACGUGGGUAACCUGCCUGUAAGACUGGGAUAACUCCGGGAAACCGGGGCUAAUACCGGAUAGUUCUUUUCCUCGCAUGAGGAAAAGUGGAAAGGCGGCUUCGGCUGCCACUUACAGAUGGACCCGCGGCGCAUUAGCUAGUUGGUGAGGUAACGGCUCACCAAGGCAACGAUGCGUAGCCGACCUGAGAGGGUGAUCGGCCACACUGGGACUGAGACACGGCCCAGACUCCUACGGGAGGCAGCAGUAGGGAAUCUUCCGCAAUGGACGAAAGUCUGACGGAGCAACGCCGCGUGAGUGAUGAAGGUUUUCGGAUCGUAAAGCUCUGUUGUUAGGGAAGAACAAGUGCCGUUCGAAUAGGGCGGCACCUUGACGGUACCUAACCAGAAAGCCACGGCUAACUACGUGCCAGCAGCCGCGGUAAUACGUAGGUGGCAAGCGUUGUCCGGAAUUAUUGGGCGUAAAGCGCGCGCAGGCGGUCUCUUAAGUCUGAUGUGAAAGCCCACGGCUCAACCGUGGAGGGUCAUUGGAAA